rnacentral:rRNA from 1 species
UACGGAGGGAGCAAGCGUUACUCGGAAUUAUUGGGCGUAAAGCGCGCGCAGGCGGUCCUUUAAGUCUGAUGUGAAAGCCCACGGCUCAACCGUGGAGGGUCAUUGGAAACUGGGGGACUUGAGUGCAGAAGAGGAAAGCGGAAUUCCACGUGUAGCGGUGAAAUGCGUAGAGAUGUGGAGGAACACCAGUGGCGAAGGCGGCUUUCUGGUCUGUAACUGACGCUGAGGCGCGAAAGCGUGGGGAGCAAACAGG